CGCCGCGUGAGUGAUGAAGGUCUUCGGAUCGUAAAACUCUGUUGUCAGGGAAGAACAUUGGUGUAAGUAACUGUGCACGUCUUGACGGUACCUGACCAGAAAGCGGCGGCUAACUUCGUGCCAGCAGCCGCGGUAAUACGUAAGGGGCAAGCGUUAUCCGGAAUUAUUGGGCGUAAAGCGCGCGUAGGCGGUUUUUUAAGUCUGAUGUGAAAGCCCACGGCUCAACCGGGGAGGUGCAUUGGAAACUGGUAAACUUGAGUGCAGAAGAGGAAAGUGGAAUUCCAUGUGUAGCGGUGAAAUGCGCAGAGAUAUGGAGGAACACCGGUGGCGAAGGCGACUUUCUGGUCUGUAACUGACACUGAUGCUCGAAAGCGUGGGGAGCAAACAGGAUUAGAUACCCUGGUAGUCCACGCCGUAAACGAUGAGUGCUAGAUGUUAGGGGGUUUCCGCUCCUUAUUGCUGCACCUACCGCAUUAAGCACUCCGCCGGGGGAGUACAACCGCAAGGUUGAAACUCA
rnacentral:rRNA from 1 species